GCCGUGGUCGCGCUGUGUGUGUGUGUGAGUGGAGAGUGAGUGCGGGACCUGAGGCUGUGUGUGUGUGAACUGUGGCCACUGGCGGGGUCGGGGGGGGGCAGCGGCGGAGCCGCCUCGGACGAUAAGGAAAUUGAGAUUUGGAGAAGUUAAAUAACCAAGACUUCACAGGUAUGUCAGCAGAGUUGGGAUUUGAAUCCUUGAAACCUUUUUUCUACCUAGUACUAGCUGGUCUUGGGGACCUCUCUGAGCUAGUUUCCUCAUGUGUGAAAAAGGGUAGGAUGGUUGUGAAAAUUCAGAAUAAUGUAAGUAUGGUAAAUUACUUAGCUCAAUGUCUGUCCCAUACUAGAUAUUCACUAAUUGGUAACUACCGUGUCACCAUUGGACAGACCAUCAUUUCUUCAUAGCACUUAAAGGAACUCACUUAAGAACUUGAGUAAUGCACCCUUAUUGUCUUGGGCAUAACAAGGUGAAGAUGACUGUUUUCUUUGCUCUUGUUGUGCAAGCUGGAGUGCAGUGGCGCGAUCUCGGCUCACUGCAACCUCUGUCUCCUGGGUUCAAGCGAUUCUGCUGCCUCAGCCUCCGGAGCAGCUGGGAUUACAGGCGUGUGCCACCAUGCCUGGCUAAUUUUGUUGGUAUUUUUAGUAGAGAUGCGGUUUCACCAUGUUGGCCAGGUGGUCUCGAACUCCUGACCUUGUGAUCUGCCGGCCUCGGCCUCCCAAGGUGCUGGGAUUACAGGCGUGAGCCACUGCGCCCGGCCUAAUUUUGUAUUUUUAGUAGAGACAGGGUUUCUCCAUAUUAGUCAGGCUGGUCUCGAACUCCCAACCUCAGGUGAUCUGCCUGCCUUGGCCUCCUAAAGUGCUGAGAUUACAGGUGUGAGCCACUGUGCCCGGCCUUUUUUUUUUUUCCUUGAGACAAGGUCUCGCACUUUUGCUCUGGCUGGAGUACAGUGGUGCAGUUAUGGCUCACUGCAGCCUCCACCUCCUAGGCUCAAGCAGUUCUCUUGCUUCAGCCUCCCCAGGUAGCUGGGACUACAGGUUGCAGUGAGCCAAGAUUGUGUCCCUGCACUCCCGCCUGGGCAGCAGAGCGAGAUUCCGUCUCAC
rnacentral:lncRNA from 10 species